AUUCACGUAGUUUAAAUAAAACACUUUAUUUUCAUUAAAAAAAAGAUAAUUUACUAUCCAUGAAUA
rnacentral:tRNA from 1 species